rnacentral:rRNA from 1 species
AUGGAGCCGACCUUGAAAUACCACCCUUUAAUGUUUGAUGUUCUAACGUUGACCCGUAAUCCGGGUUGCGGACAGUGUCUGGUGGGUAGUUUGACUGGGGCGGUCUCCUCCUAAAGAGUAACGGAGGAGCACGAAGGUUGGCUAAUCCUGGUCGGACAUCAGGAGGUUAGUGCAAUGGCAUAAGCCAGCUUGACUGCGAGCGUGACGGCGCGAGCAGGUGCGAAAGCAGGUCAUAGUGAUCCGGUGGUUCUGAAUGGAAGGGCCAUCGCUCAACGGAUAAAAGGUACUCCGGGGAUAACAGGCUGAUACCGCCCAAGAGUUCAUAUCGACGGCGGUGUUUGGCACCUCGAUGUCGGCUCAUCACAUCCUGGGGCUGAAGUAGGUCCCAAGGGUAUGGCUGUUCGCCAUUUAAAGUGGUACGCGAGCUGGGUUUAGAACGUCGUGAGACAGUUCGGUCCCUAUCUGCCGUGGGCGCUGGAGAACUGAGGGGGGCUGCUCCUAGUACGAGAGGACCGGAGUGGACGCAUCACUGGUGUUCGGGUUGUCAUGCCAAU